rnacentral:tRNA from 1 species
GCAGUGGUGGUUCAGUGGUAGAAUUCUCACCUAUAAUGUGGAAGACUCUAAGGGUCAAUUCCCAGCCAAUGCA